GAUCCUGGCUCAGAAUCAACGCUGGCGGCGCGCUUAACACAUGCAAGUCGCACGAGAAAGGGGAGCAAUCCCUGAGUACAGUGGCGCACGGGUGAGUAACACGUGGGUAAUCCACCCUUUGGUGGGGAAUAACCCUGGGAAACCGGGGCUAAUACCGCAUAAGCCUGAGAAGGGAAAGCAGCAAUGCGCUGAAGGAGGAGCUCGCGGCCGAUUAGCUAGUUGGUGGGGUAACGGCUCACCAAGGCGACGAUCGGUAGCCGGCCUGAGAGGGCACACGGCCACACUGGCACUGAAACACGGGCCAGACUCCUACGGGAGGCAGCAGUGGGGAAUCUUGCACAAUGGGGGAAACCCUGAUGCAGCGACGCCGCGUGAGCGAUGAAGCCCUUCGGGGUGUAAAGCUCUUUCGACGGGAACGAUAAUGACGGUACCCGGAGAAGAAGCUGCGGCUAACUACGUGCCAGCAGCCGCGGUAAUACGUAGGCAGCAAGCGUUGUUCGGAAUUACCGGGCGUAAAGAGUGUGUAGGCGGUGCUCUAAGUUCGGUGUGAAAUCUCCCGGCUCAACUGGGAGGGUGCGCCGGAAACUGGAGUGCUGGAGCGCGGGAGAGGAAAGCGGAAUUCCUGGUGUAGCGGUGAAAUGCGUAGAUAUCAGGAGGAACACCGGCGGUGUAGACGGCUUUCUGGACCGU
rnacentral:rRNA from 1 species